rnacentral:rRNA from 1 species
AGAACGAACGCUGGCGGCAUGCCUAAUACAUGCAAGUCGAACGAACUCUUCGGAGUUAGUGGCGCACGGGUGCGUAACGCGUGGGAAUCUGCCCCUUGGUUCGGAAUAACAGUUGGAAACGACUGCUAAUACCGGAUGAUGACGAAAGUCCAAAGAUUUAUCGCCAAGGGAUGAGCCCGCGUAGGAUUAGCUAGUUGGUGAGGUAAAGGCUCACCAAGGCAACGAUCCUUAGCUGGUCUGAGAGGAUGAUCAGCCACACGUGGGACUGAGACACGGCCCAGACCUCCGUACGGGAGCAGCAGUAGGGAAUAGUGGACAAGUGGGACGAAAGCCUGACUCCAGACAAUGCCGACGUGAGUGAUGGAAGGUCCUUAGGGUUAGUAAAGCUUACCUUUACCCGAG